GCGUCAUUUUUUUUGGGUCCAUUAACACAAUAUUCUACUUUCCCAUUUCAAUUUCAUUUAGCCCUAAUUUUCGUCUCCCUUCUUGUUUGUCACUCAGCCUUCUCUUCCUCUCUGCUCUAUCCCGAUCGUUGCUCCGUCUCGAUCUCUCACUGCUGGAUCUCCAUUUCUCAGCUGAAGCACUUCUUCAGCUCAUCGUAGGCUCUCUCUCUCUCUCUCAACCCUCCCUCUCUCUACCACCACCAUCAUCAUCCUCCCGUUCUUUCCACCUGCGUUUCAGAGUACCUCAAAUUCAGAUUCUCUCUCUUCCCCUCACGGAUCCUACUCAUCCUCUCUCUCUUGGUGAUGAGGUCUACCAUAGUGUCAAUAGUGGUUUGAGAGAUUUGCCUGCAGUUGAGCUAUCUACACUUCCUUUAAUACUGAAAGUUCAAACUGAUUCUUCUGUUUUAUUUUUAACUCAUUGCGCCACAUCACGAAAAUCAACAUCAAGAUAGAAAUUUGCAGCUAUCACAUACCACCUUCUUCAGUGUGACCACUAUAGUUUAGCCUUUGUCCCAGUUUCCUUCGCAUUAGCAAUCAAGAAGGGGAUAACUCGUAUUUGAUUGGCUAAUAUUCUUUAAAGGAAGGAUAAAUAAUAAGCUGACAAUGAAACGAACGGUUAGUGAAGUGGAAAAAGUGAGUGAACAAAAUACUGAAGCUUCAACUUCAAAAUCAUCCCAACCACCGCCAAAGAAGAGACGGGGCCCGACACGAUGCAAGAAUGUCGUAAACGCGACAACCUUAUUACCAUUAAGGGUUAAUAAGUUUGGACAGCCGAUUGGCCCUGGAAGUGGUACAUAUACUAAUUAUUUGGGAACACUUGCCCGGAAUGCUAAUUUAGCUCCUUUGUGCUAUAAAACUUGGUGGGAGAUGCCUAAACGGCUGAAGGAGGAAAUGUGGAACAUUGUAAAGGGAAAGUAUGAUGUGGGAAUCAUGUCAAUACAUUGGACAAUAUCCACCAUUGGAAAAAAAUUGAGGGGUUACAAGUGUGAAUUAAAAAGUGAAUAUUAUUCGGUUAGGGAUACAGAUGCAGAAAGAUUGGCAAACCCACCACCUGAUGUUGAAAAGGAGCAUUGGGAAUUUUUGGUUAGGCAUUGGGGUACGCCUAUUGCGAAGGAGGUCAGUAAAAAAAAAACAAAGAACGUCGUGGGAAGCAGACAAUGAUGCAUACUAUAGGGACAAAAAGCUUUGCACAUGUUUCUGCCGAGAUUGAGGAAGACGAAGGUAUUCAACUUUCUUGUGCAGAUUUAUUCAUUCGCACACAUGUAAAUAAGGAUGGCAAAGCUACUGAUGCUGCUGCUUUGGAGAUGAUUGAAAACAUAAAAGUACUUCAAAAAAGUUACUCUGACUCGCCUAUUGGCACUUCCAAUGAUAUGUUCUCCAUUGUGAGGGGAGAAGAGAGAACUGGUCGUGUGCGGAUGCUUGGCUUCAGGCCUACACCAAACGAUGUUUGGGGGCCCUCUCCUAGUAAAGCUGAACUGAUUAAUAAUGCGAAAAAAUCUAAUGAGGAGGCACGUGCUACACGCGUAGAGUUGCAGGAGACCAUUUAAAAAAUGCAAGCCGACUAUGACAACAAGUUGGAAAAUUUACAACAACAGGUGGCUAUGCUAAUGCAGAUGCAACAACAAAAUUGUAGUGGACAGGGUUCUGAUUUGUUAAAUGCUCCUCCUAGAGUAUCCCCAUAUUCAUUAUCUAGUCGUGAUGCCAAUUCAGUUAAGGUUAUGAACUUUUAAUUUCUCUUAUAUAUAUGUUAAUUUUUCAUUUAUUAUAAUGUGUGCGUAAUGAAUUUAUAAAAAAUGUAGGGUAAUUCAAAUCAAAUGGGCAAGAAAACUUGUUGAAGUUGAAGAUGGGGUCGUGGCUGUGCUUUUUGAAUUUCGUUCGCCUUGGAUGGGUUCUUUUUGAAAAACUUGUACUACAUUUGUCAAAAAUUGUUAAUUCUUUUUGUCUGACAUUUAGUAGCUUUAUUUAGACAAUUUGGAUGGUAUAUUGGCAGGUUAACUUGUGGUUGUAUUAAUAUACAUUUUUGCUUUUUGGUUGACAUUUACCAGGUUAACUUGUGGUUAUAUUAGUAGCCAAUUUUGAUAGUAAUUUUCAUAUUGGCAGGGUUAACUUGUGGUUGUAUUAUGUAAAAAAAAUUUGGAUGAUAUUUUUAUAUUAACUUAUGGUAUAUUGGAUGACA